GGUUCCGUGGUGUAGGGGUUAACUGCCUGCCUGUCACGCAGGAGAUCGCGGGUUCAAAUCCCGUCGGGACCG
rnacentral:tRNA from 1 species